rnacentral:rRNA from 1 species
UCAAGUAAUUAAGUGCAUGUGGUGGAUGCCUUGGCAGUCAGAGGCGAUGAAAGACGUGAUAGCCUGCGAAAAGCUCCGGGGAGGCGGCAAAUAUCCUUUGAUCCGGAGAUGUCUGAAUGGGGGAACCCACCUACUUUAAGGUAGGUAUUGCAACAUGAAUACAUAGUGUUGCAAGGCGAACGAGGGGAAGUGAAACAUCUCAGUACCCUUAGGAAAAGAAAUCAAUUGAGAUUCCCUCAGUAGCGGCGAGCGAACGGGGAUCAGCCCAUUAAGUUAUGUGUGUUUUAGUGGAACGCUCUGGGAAGUGCGAACGUAGAGGGUGAUAUUCCCGUACACGAAAGGGCACACAUAAUGAUGACGAGUAGGGCGAGGCACGUGAAACCUUGUCUGAAUAUGGGGGGACCAUCCUCCAAGGCUAAAUACUCCUGACUGACCGAUAGUGAACCAGUACCGUGAGGGAAAGGCGAAAAGAACCCCUGUGAGGGGAGUGAAAUAGAUCCUGAAACCGCAUGCAUACAAGCAGUGGGAGCACCUUCGUGGUGUGACUGCGUACCUUUUGUAUAAUGGGUCAGCGACUUAUAUUCAGUAGCGAGGUUAACCGUAUAGGGGAGCCGUAGAGAAAUCGAGUCUUAAUAGGGCGUUUAGUUGCUGGGUAUAGACCCGAAACCAGGCGAUCUAUCCAUGAGCAGGUUGAAGGUUGGGUAACACUAACUGGAGGACCGAACCCACUGUCGUUGAAAAGCCAGGGGAUGACUUGUGGAUAGGGGUGAAAGGCUAAUCAAGCCUGGUGAUAGCUGGUUCUCCCCGAAAGCUAUUUAGGUAGCGCCUCGGACGAAUACCAUAGGGGGUAGAGCACUGUUUCGGCUAGGGGGUCAUCCCGACUUACCAAACCGAUGCAAACUCCGAAUACCUAUGAGUACUAUCCGGGAGACAGACUGCGGGUGCUAACGUCCGUAGUCAAGAGGAAAACAAUCCAGACCGCCAGCUAAGGCCCCAAAAUCAUAGUUAAGUGGGAAACGAUGUGGGAAGGCAUAGACAGCUAGGAGGUUGGCUUAGAAGCAGCCACCCUUUAAAGAAAGCGUAAUAGCUCACUAGUCGAGUCGGCCUGCGCGGAAGAUGUAACGGGGCUAAAACUAUGUGCCGAAGCUGCGGAUGUAUACUUUGUAUACGUGGUAGGGGAGCGUUCUGUAAGCCGAUGAAGGUGUGUUGAGAAGCAUGCUGGAGGUAUCAGAAGUGCGAAUGCUGACGUGAGUAACGACAAAACGGGUGAAAAACCCGUUCGCCGAAAGACCAAGGGUUCCAGUCCAACGUUAAUCGGGGCUGGGUGAGUCGACCCCUAAGGCGAGGCCGAAAGGCGUAGUCGAUGGGAAAAUGGUUAAUAUUCCAUUACUUCUGUGUAAUGCGAUGAGAGGACGGAGAAGGCUAAAUCAGCCUGGCGUUGGUUGUCCAGGUGAAAGGAUGUAGGCAUGUAUCUUAGGCAAAUCCGGGGUACUCUAUGCUGAGAUCUGAUAGCAAGCUGUACUUGUACAGCGAAGUGGUUGAUGCCAUGCUUCCAGGAAAAGUCUCUAAGCUUCAGUUACACAGGAAUCGUACCCGAAACCGACACAGGUGGUCAGGUCGAGUAGACCAAGGCGCUUGAGAGAACUCUGCUGAAGGAACUAGGCAAAAUGGUACCGUAACUUCGGGAGAAGGUACGCUGUUGUUGGUGAUGGAACUCGCUUCCUGAGCUGACGACAGCCGCAGAAACCAGGCCGCUGCAACUGUUUAUUAAAAACAUAGCACUCUGCAAACACGAAAGUGGACGUAUAGGGUGUGAUGCCUGCCCGGUGCUGGAAGGUUAAUUGAUGGGGUUAGCGUAAGCGAAGCUCUUGAUCGAAGCCCCAGUAAACGGCGGCCGUAACUAUAACGGUCCUAAGGUAGCGAAAUUCCUUGUCGGGUAAGUUCCGACCUGCACGAAUGGCAUAAUGAUGGCGGCGCUGUCUCCAGCAGAGGCUCAGUGAAAUCGAAAUCGCUGUGAAGAUGCAGUGUACCCGCGGCUAGACGGAAAGACCCCGUGAACCUUUACUGCAGCUUGACACUGAACUUUGACCUUACUUGUGUAGGAUAGGUGGGAGGCUUUGAAGCUGGAACGCUAGUUCCAGUGGAGCCGUCCUUGAAAUACCACCCUGGUAAUGUUGAGGUUCUAACUCUGUCCCGUGAUCCGGGACGAGGACCGUGUCUGGUGGGUAGUUUGACUGGGGCGGUCUCCUCCUAAAGAGUAACGGAGGAGUACGAAGGUGCGCUCAGCGUGGUCGGAAAUCACGCGUAGAGUAUAAAGGCAAAAGCGCGCUUAACUGCGAGACCCACAAGUCGAGCAGGUACGAAAGUAGGUCUUAGUGAUCCGGUGGUUCUGUAUGGAAGGGCCAUCGCUCAACGGAUAAAAGGUACUCUGGGGAUAACAGGCUGAUACCGCCCAAGAGUUCAUAUCGACGGCGGUGUUUGGCACCUCGAUGUCGGCUCAUCUCAUCCUGGGGCUGAAGCAGGUCCCAAGGGUAUGGCUGUUCGCCAUUUAAAGAGGUACGCGAGCUGGGUUUAGAACGUCGUGAGACAGUUCGGUCCCUAUCUACCGUGGGCGCUGGAAAUUUGAGAGGAUCUGCUCCUAGUACGAGAGGACCAGAGUGGACGAACAUCUGGUGUACCGGUUGUGACGCCAGUCGCAUCGCCGGGUAGCUAUGUUCGGAAGGGAUAACCGAUGAAAGCAUCUAAGCGGGAAGCCUACCUCAAGAUAAGAUUUCCCUAGGACUUUAUGUCCUCUAAAGAGCCGUUCGAGACUAGGACGUUGAUAGGUUGGAUGUGGAAGCAUAGUGAUAUGUGAAGCUGACCAAUACUAAUUGCUCGUGAGGCUUGACUAU